rnacentral:rRNA from 1 species
UAAGGAAUAUUGCUCAAUGGCCGAAAGGCUGAAGCAGCAACGCCGCGUGGAGGAAGAAUGGCUUUUGCUUGUAAACUCCUGUAUGAGGGGAAAAAAUCUCGCCUUUGGCGAGGAUGAUGGUACCCUCGGAGUAAGCCCCGGCUAACUACGUGCCAGCAGCCGCGGUAAUACGUAGGGGGCAAGCGUUGUCCGGAUUUAUUGGGUGUAAAGGGUGCUCAGGCGGAUUUGUAAGUCAGAGGUGAAAUCUCCCGGCUCAACCGGGAAACUGCCU